UGGACCAUCCACUUUAUCAGCCAAGGUGAAUGACAGGAAAGAGAAAGCAGGUGAAGACAUGGGGGCAGAGCAUUACAGCAGAGCAACACUAAGUGCAAAGCUCUGAGAUGGAAAUGAGGUUGUUAAAUCUGACAGAAAAGGGGCUGGUGUGGAGGAAGGAGGUAGGAGGAGAGAUGGAAGAUGAAGACAGGAGGAGAGAUGGAAGAUGAAGACAGGGGUCCGAUAUUGUAGGCCCAUAGGCCAUGUGCAGGAGUUUGGACUUUAUUCUUUUUUUUUUUUUUUUUUUUUCUUGAGAUGGAGUCUUACUCUGUCACCCAGGGUGGAGUACAGUGGCGCGAUCUUGGCUCACUGCAACUUCCACUUCUCAGGUUCAAGCGAUUCUCCUGCCUCAGCCUCCUGAGGAGCUGGGACUACAGGCGUGUGCCACCACCUGCUGCUAAUUUUUUGUAUUUUUAGUAGACACAAGAUUUCACCAUGUAGACCAGGCUGGUCUCAAACUCCUGACCUCAAGUGAUCUGCCCAUCUCAGCCUCCCAAAGUGCUGGGAUUAAAAGCAUGAGCCACCUAGCCCAGCCUGGACUUUAUUCGAAUUGUAAUGGGAAACCACUGAAGGGUCCUGAUAUGGUUUGGCUGUCUCCCCACCCAAAAUCUCAUCUUGAAUUGUAGUAAUCCCCAUGUGUCAAGGGAGGGACCAGGUGAAGUUAACUGAACCAUGGGUGUGGUUUCCCCCAUACUGUUCUAGUGACAGUGAGUUCUCACAAGAUCUGAUGGUUUUAUAAGGAGAUUACCCCUUCAUUCGGCUCUCAUUCUCUUUCCUGCCACCAUGUGAAGGAGGAUGUGUUUACUUCCCCUUCUGCCAUGAUUUUAUAAGUUACCUAAGGCCUCCCCAGCCCUGCAGAACUGUGAGUCAAUUAAACCUCUUUCCUUUAUUAAUUACCUAGUCUCAGGUAUUUCUUCAUAGCAGCAGCACGAGAACAGACUAAUACAGCUUACAUGCUUAGGAGGUACAUUUACAUGCUUACAAGCAUGUAAAUGAUGUCAUCUGAACUAUGCUUCAGAAAGAUAACUCUGGCUGCUGUGGAGCCAGGAUUUUAGUGGGGCAAGAAGACAAACAGGGAAAUCAAUAAUGAAGCUGCUGCAAUAAUCCAAACACCUGGACCAGGGUGGGAGUAGAAGAGAUGGCUAGAAAUGGUCAGCUGCUGAGUGUAUUUUGGAAGCAGAGGUGACAGGACUCGCUAAUAGACUGGAUGUGGGGCAAAGGAGAAGAAUUCAGGAUGACCCUCAAGUAUAUGACAUGAGCAAAAUGGGGACUUUCUUGUUGAGUUUUUUUUUUUUUUUUUUUUUGAGACGGAGUCUUGCUCUGUUGCCCAGGCUGGAGUGCAGUGGCACGGUCUCAGCUUACUGCAACCUCCACCUCCCAAGUUCAAGCAAUCCUCCUGCCUCAGCCCCCCUAGUAGCUGGGAUUACAGGCACACACCACCAUGCCCGGCUAAUUUUUUUUUUUUUUUUUUUUUUUUUGAGACGAAGUCUCCCGCCCAGCCUGGAGUGCAGUGGCACGAUCUGCAAGCUCUGCCUCCCGGGUUCACGCCAUUCUCCUGCCUCAGCCUCCUGAGUAGCUGGGACUACAGGCACCUGCCACCAAGCCCGGCUAAUUUUUUUUGUAUUUUUUUAGUAGAGACGGGGUUUCACUGUGUUAGCCAGAAUGGUCUCCAUCAUCUCCUGACCUCGUGAUCCACCCGCCUCAGCCUCCCAAAGUGCUGGGAUUACAGGCGUAAGCCACCGCGGCCGGCCUUUUUUUUUUUGAGAUGGAGUCUCACUCUGUCGCCAGGCUGGAGAGCAGUGGCCCAUCUCGGCUCACUGCCACCUCUGCCUCCCAGGUUCAAGCGAUUCUCCUGCCUCAGCCUUCUGAGUAGCUGGGACGACGCCACCACACCCAACUAAUUUUUUUAUUUUUAGUAGAGACAGAGUUUCACCAUGUUGGCCAGGAUGGUCUCGAUCUCUUGACCUCGUGAUCUGCCCACCUCGGCCUCCCAAAGUGCUGGGAUUACAGGCAUGAGCCACCGCGCCUGGCCUCUAAUUCUUGUAUUUUUAGUAGAGAUGGGGUUUUGCCAUGUUAGCCAGGCUGGUCUCAAACUCCUGAUCUCAGGUGAUUUACCCACCUUGGCCUCCCAAAGUGCUGGGAUUACAGACAUGAGCCACCACGCCUGGCCUAGGACACUACUUUUUUUUUUUUUUUUUUUUUUUUUUGAGACAAAGUUUGGCUCUUGUUGCCCAGGCUGGAGUGCAAUGACACGAUCUCGGCUCACCGAAACCUCCGCCUCCUGGGUUCAAGC
rnacentral:lncRNA from 10 species